AUACCAAUCUAGCCCUGGCUAGGUAUUGGGCUUCGCCGGCUGGCGGGCCUUAAAACUAGUGGCGGUGCUCUUAGGCUCUACGCGUAGUAAUUUUCUCGCUAUAGGGUCCUGGGAGGUGCUGGCCAGCAACCCCAACUUUUUCUA
rnacentral:misc_RNA from 1 species